rnacentral:rRNA from 1 species
UACGAAGGGGGCUAGCGUUGCUCGGAAUCACUGGGCGUAAAGCGCACGUAGGCGGACUCUUAAGUCAGGGGUGAAAUCCUGGAGCUCAACUCCAGAACUGCCUUUGAUACUGGGAGUCUCGAGUUCGGGAGAGGUGAGUGGAACUGCGAGUGUAGAGGUGAAAUUCGUAGAUAUUCGCAAGAACACCAGUGGCGAAGGCGGCUCACUGGCCCGAUACUGACGCUGAGGUGCGAAAGCGUGGGAGCAAACAGG